UUCAAGCAGGAUGGCCCAUGCCUGUCAUUUCUACUACUGGGAGAGGCUGAGGCUAGUGGCUCACAGGAUUUUAGGAGUUCUGAGAUGCCAAUUAGAUGUCUGUUUGAGAUGCCAAUCAGGUGUCUAACUAAGUCUAGAAUCAAUUUGGCAAGUCCCUGGAAGUGGAGGGUCACCAGGUUUCCUAAGGAGGGGUGAGCUGGCCCAGGCUGGGGAAUCAGAACAGGUUAAAACAUCAGUGUCAGUCAGCAGUGGGGUUAGGCCUCUGAGUGGCCUUUGUACUUCCAACUUAGACAAAAUAGGGAGACCUAGUCUCAA
rnacentral:SRP_RNA from 1 species